rnacentral:rRNA from 1 species
AUUGAACGCUGGCGGAAUGCUUUACACAUGCAAGUCGAACGGCAGCACGGACUUCGGUCUGGUGGCGAGUGGCGAACGGGUGAGUAAUGUAUCGGAACGUGCCCAGUCGUGGGGGAUAACGUAGUGAAAAUUACGCUAAUACCGCAUACGAUCUAUGGAUGAAAGCGGGGGAUCGCAAGACCUCGCGCGAUUGGAGCGGCCGAUAUCAGAUUAGGUAGUUGGUGGGGUAAAGGCCCACCAAGCCAACGAUCUGUAGCUGGUCUGAGAGGACGGACCGCCACACUGUAACUGAGACACGGUCCAGACUCCUACGGGAGGCAGCAGUGGGGAAUUUUGGACAAUGGGCGAAAGCCUGAUCCAGCCAUUCCGCGUGUAGGAUGAAGGCCCUCGGGUUGUAAACUGCUUUUGUACAGAACGAAAAGGUUUCUACUAAUACUAGGAGCUCAUGACGGUACUGUAAGAAUAAGCACCGGCUAACUACGUGCCAGCCGCCGCGGUAA